GACGAAUAAAUUCACGGAUUCAGCUGGUAAUAUAUACCGAAUGCGAUGUAGACUAUUAUCACGUGGUCAAAUAUACUUGCGGUGCCUUGGACUAGGUUGUGGUGUCAGUGCAACAUAUAGUUUUGAAGAAGGAACCGUAGAAUUCCGCGGUGAGCAUUCGAACCAUCCGUCUUUGAGUGAAAAUGAAAUUCGUGUGAUUGAGCUGAGCCAAGUAAUUCGAACCAAAUCAAAUGAUCCAAAAUUCAGUCAUUGGAGGAACACUGACAUUUACGAUCAAUGUGUCUCUGAAUUUCCAAAUAUUAUAUUGCCGGACGAUCAUCGAAAAAGGGCACUGUCAUCCAUUGCUGGCUACCGAUCAACGGCGCGAAAGCAAAAUAGCGAAAAAUUCAAGCAAAAUAGCGAACAAUUGUAGCAAAACAUUGAUCAAAUGAAGCAAAUCAACAAAGAAACCGCAAAAAUCAAGCAAAGUAAUCAAGGGAAAAAAGCAAAAAUUAACCACAUCAAAAACGUCGCUCCGAACAAGAUAGAGGAAAAACAGCUAAAAUUUGGCGUACCAAUCGGUUUCAAGGCUAUUGCAGGCUCCAAAGCAUUGAGACUCAGCUGAUAAUGUGUAUCGUAGAAUGGUCAAGGGGUCCGACGGCACUAAUGUUUUGUUCUUUCAAUGUCAAUGGAAAAAUUGCACGGCCAUCAUUUCGCACAAUUACAACGAACCAAAAGUGCUACGUAUGGUUAACAAACAUUCAGACCAUCCAAGUGCCACAAAUGAUAUUCCUCGCAUCGAAUUAAGCCGAUUUAUGCGUGCAAAAGCACUUGAUAUGAAAUAUAAACAUGUGAAGAGUGCCGAUAUUUAUGAACAAUGUCUUGCUGAAUACAAGGGUGUUAGUGCAUUUAUGUUGCCAGAAAUUCACCGCAAAAAAUCCAUCGAAGCCAUCGAACAAAUACGCAAGCAUUAUGGCAUUCAAACGGCAUAGAGCUGAGCUGUUAUUGGCACCGGAGAAGUGCAGCAACUACUGAUUACCCGCACUAAUUUCAUGUCAUUUCUCCAGUACCGCACCCAAAUACAAAAAAUACU